rnacentral:rRNA from 1 species
UGGACCUGAUAAAAUCAAACUUGUCUUUCUUCCUUCCGUGU